rnacentral:rRNA from 1 species
UGGUGGUGUGAUUUGUCUGGUUACUUCAGUUAACGAGCAAGACUUUGCUUGUCUAACGCAAGGAAGUUCGAGGCAGUAACA